GCCUGGGUGGCUUAGUCAGUUAAGCAUCUGACUUUGGUUCGGGUCAGAUCUCACGGUUUGUGAGUUCAAGUCCUGCAUCAGGCU
rnacentral:tRNA from 1 species